CUUCACCGAACCCAGCAGCAGCGGCCGGUCCUCCGGCCGGUCCUGACCGUACGUCGCCAGCAGCGCCUGCGCCUC
rnacentral:antisense_RNA from 1 species